GGUGAGUGACAGUUGCAAAGAGGUGACCAGCCAGGGAAACUUUUGCAAAUAGGAGAUAAGAGGUGUUGGUUGGGUUCGAACAGCUAAGCUAGUGAUAUGUGGACAUGUAGGCUGGUCACCUUUGUAAGCCUAUUUUUAAGGCUGUAGUCAAGAAUUCUCCAGGUAAGAGGGAUUAAAUAUCAGUUCUCUGCAGGAAUGCAUAAGCAGCAUAAACUUUGAGGUUCCUUUCUGUGUAAAGAAUGCCUUAUUCCUCCAGAACAGGAAUAUUUUAUUUCCACAUCUGUCUUCACGAAAUGUUGCAUUUCAUAUGAUUGAGGGAGCUGUGGUUGGAGGAAAGAUAUAGAGAACUGAGGGGAAAGUAGAAAGGGAAUGAAAUUCUGUUUGAACAGAGUUGUGUGCUUUGUUUUUUUGUUUUGUUUUCGGAAGCUGCAUGUAAAAUGGAAAUGAAUCAGAAAAAGAGGAGGGGGAAUAGGGAAACUGUGACCCCCCCCCCAGAAACCUUUACGUAGUUUACAACUCCCAUCAGCCACAGCCAGUAUGACCAGUGGUUUGGGAUGAUGGGAGUUGUAAUCUAGCAGCAACUGGAGGGCUGAACGGGAGUCUGGACAUGGCUGUCCCAGUAGGGCUGGGGCCCAGUAAGAGAACUGAGAGUACAAUUUUCUGACUUGAUCCACACUAUUGGUUGCAUACACAUAGACCUUUAAAAAUUGGUGUGUGUGGGUAUGUAGUAAGUAGGGAUAGGCACAUCUGUUAAUUUCACUUCUCCCACAUUUCCAAUUUUAAAUUCAGCGCUCUAUAUUUCUGUAACAAUUUGUUAUUUUGUCUUUUUAAAAUUAUCAUGAAAAUCCAUCAGUGUUUAAUUGCAAAUUUCUCCUAAUAAACAGGUUUUUAUACCCAGUUUUGAUUAACCUACACAUGUUGGAGAGCUAUAUCCCCAUAUAUCUUGCCUUCCGUGUGUUCUUUUGACCAGUAUAUGCAUUUCCCUACAAAUUUUAUCUUUAUAUGCAUUUUUGUAAACAUUACUUGGGUGCGGAGAGGCAUUGCAAAAUUCAGAUCAAUGUGAAUUCCAAUGGAUGGCUAUUUUUCAGUUUGUGUAUUGUUCCAGCAAGUACAAGUUGGGUAGGUUUGCCUUUAAAUGCAAACUGAACCAAGUUUCUCCUCAAUUCUUGGUAAUGAAGCUGGUUUCAGACUCCUUUCUUCGCCUUUCCUUCUUAACCUCUGAUUUAGGAGUUGAGUUUCUUUUAAACAUACCAGUCCCAGCUGGUCUGCGCACUCUUGGUUAUAUCUGAGCAUCUGGGGGCCCCCUCCCACUAAAGUAAUGUAGCAAUAUAAUCAGAACUUCAUUUUAAUUUCAGAUUCUUUCACUUGGUCCCUCAGGUACUGGUGACUCAGAGGGGAAUCUCAUGAAAUAUGAAGAGGGAACAUGCAAAGGCUUUCACAGAAUAAACAUUUAUUAUUUUCUGACAAAACUGCACGCAGGCAAGUUUGGUAGCAGGGG